rnacentral:rRNA from 1 species
UACGUAGGGGGCAAGCGUUGUCCGGAUUUAUUGGGCGUAAAGAGCGUGUAUGCGGCUGGGUAGGUCCGUUGUGAAAACUCGAGGCUCAACCUCGAGACGCCGAUGGAAACCCUCCAGCUAGAGUCCGGAAGAGGAGAGUGGAAUUCCUGGUGUAGCGGUGAAAUGCGCAGAUAUCAGGAAGAACACCCGUGGCUAAGGCGGCUCUCUAGUACGGUACUGACGCUGAGACGCGAAAGCGUGGGGAGCGAACAGG